rnacentral:rRNA from 1 species
AGAUGUUGGGUUAAGUCCCGCAACGAGCGCAACCCUUGUCUUUAGUUGCCAUCAUUAAGUUGGGCACUCUAGAGAGACUGCCAGGGAUAACCUGGAGGAAGGUGGGGAUGACGUCAAAUCAUCAUGCCCCUUAUGCUUAGGGCUACACACGUGCUACAAUGGGUAGUACAGAGGGUUGCCAAGCCGUAAGGUGGAGCUAAUCCCUUAAAGCUA